AUUUAUAUAAUAUAAAAAGUAUAAUUGAUUUCCAAUCAAAAAGUCUAAAUCUAGUAUAAAUA
rnacentral:tRNA from 1 species